rnacentral:tRNA from 1 species
GCUUAGUUGGUAAAGCGCUCGUCUAGCAUACAAGAGUCCUGGGUUCGAAUCCCAG